rnacentral:rRNA from 1 species
UAACACGUGGGUAACCUGCCCUGAUGAUCGGGACAACCCGAGGAAACUCGGGCUAAUACCGAAUGUGCCCUCCGGCCAUAAGGCCACUGGGAAAGGAAGCUUCGGCCUCCGCAUCGGGAUGGGCCCGCGGCCCAUUAGCUUGUUGGUGAGGUAACGGCUCACCAAGGCAAUGAUGGGUAGCUGGUCUGAGAGGACGAUCAGCCACACUGGGACUGAGACACGGCCCAG